CUUAAGAGACUUUACCUGAGGGCUGGUCUAGCAGGUCUACUGUUAGGAGCAGGAGGUGUGCAGGGGGUAGGGAGCAGUCCCAGCUUCUGCGAUCUUCUCCAUGGCAGGAUCUCCCAGUGGGUAGAGCAGAGCCAGAGCCAGGUGCAGGCCAUCGAGGAGAAGGUCACCUUGGCCCAGGCCAAGAUUGAGAUCAAGGGCAGUAAGAAGUCCAUCAAGGUGUUCUCCAGUGCCAAGUACCCUGUUCCAGAGCGCUUGAAGGAAUAUGGCUCCAUCUUCACAGGUGUCCAGGACCCUGGCCUGCAGAGACGACCCCGCCACAGGAUCCAGAGCAAGCAUGGCAGGCCCUGCAGGUCUGCUGCUUCCCAGGAGAAGCUGAAGUACUUUCCUGUGUGCAUGAGUGCCAAGCCAGAGCCCGAGGAUGACACAGAGGAGGGGCUUGGGGGUCUUCCCAGCAACAUCAGCUCUGUCAGCUCCUUGCUGCUCUUUAACACCACCAAGAUCUUGUACAAGAAGUAUGUCUUCCUGGACUCCCUGGCUGGUGCUGUAACAAAGACCCAUGUGAUGCUGGGGUGUGGAGAUGGAGGAGAAGCUGUUUGAUGCCCCCUUCUCCAUCAGCAAGAGAGAGCAGCUGGAGCAGCAGGUUCCAGAGAACUACUUAUAGGUGCCAGGCCUGGGCCAAGUACCUGAGAUUGAUGUGCUAUCCUACCUGUCCGACCUGCCCAGCAUCGCCAACGACCUCAUGUACAGUGCCAACCUGGGCCCCGGCAUUGCCCCCUCUGCCCCUGGCACCAUUACAGAACUGUUCACCUUCCACACUGAGGUAGCCGAGCCUCUCAAUUCAGACCUAGAAGGUAGGGUGUUCACAGCACCUGCACCAUCUCCCCCAGUUCCUGAGGUGCUGGCCAGUGCACCCCCCACUCCCACCCUCAGCCGUGGCCCCCGUAGGCCCAGGCACCAGGCAGGACGGCGGCAGCAGCAGUGUGUCUCCUUCAGUUGAGGGAGCUCUCAGGGAAGUGGGCGACCCCUCUGAGGGCCAGGCCACUCUGCUAGAGUCCAUCCACCAAGCUGGGGGCAUUGGCAAGGCCAAGCGGCACAGCGUGAAGGAGCGAAAGCUGGAGCAGCAGCAGCAGCAGGAGCAGGGGCAAGUGAGAGCCACAGACCAAGGUGGGGACCUGAUGUCGGAUCUCUUCAACAAGCUAAUAAUGAGGUGCAAGGGUAGGAGGCAGGGCCACUGCCCGCCCUGGGCCGGCACACUGCAUCUCUGGAAAAGGACCUGGGGCUGGUGAGGGACCCGGAGGAGCCUUUGCCCGUGUGUCAGACUCCGUCCAUCCUCUGCUGCCACCACAGCAGCCACAGGCAGAGGAGGAUGAGGAAGACUAAGAAUCCUAGACUUGGGCCACUUCUCCGACAUGGACACAGCCAGGACAAGCUCCUCAGACCCGUUGCCCUAGGAGGGGGCAGUGAUAGAACUGUCCCAGGACUGUGCGGGGACCACCUUCAUGGAGCAAGAGGCUGGCCUGAGGCCACAGGGCUAGGGUGGGGGCUUCUGUAUGCCUGUGCUCCAGCAGGGGACAGCUCCACCCAGCCUGCACCAGUGUGUUCUUCUCUUCCCUAAAGAGGCUUCCAGAGAAAACUGCAACACAAAUCAAAAAAGAACUGAGCAGAAACCAACAGUGCACUUUUAAUAAAAGACCUCUAGCUGUGCAGGAUG